GACAGCAUGAGUUUUGUAUUUAUAAAGUGAUCAAAUCAUUUUCUACUUACUACCUAAAAAAAAGAAGAAAAAUAUGGCUAUGUUUUUCCAUGCCUUGGUCUUUUUUCUAUCCCUCAUUAUUUUUGCAAUAGAAAAUAAGGUUUUUGCUGCAUGUAAUUAUGACAAGGAUUGUCCAGCUUGUUAUUCAGCUUUUGUUAGAAUGUGUGUUAACCAAAAAUGUCGAUGUGUUAAUUGGGAUGAUGUUAUGGCUUAAUUAAGAUGAUUGUAAUGAAAAUAAAUAAAUAUAACAAAUAAUAUUACUUAAAUUAUCUCCUUCUAUCAUAAUAUAUAUUUUUUUUGGGGAGGGGUGGUAUAACUAUAGUUUUGAAUCGAAGCAUAGCGUUAUCCCUUCAAUAAUCUCAUAAUGUAAUAUUUAAGUAAAAAAAUAAUAUUUGUAUUACAUAUAAACCUAUAGUUUUAUUUUCA